rnacentral:rRNA from 1 species
AUUGAACGCUGGCGGCAUGCUUUACACAUGCAAGUCGAACGGUAACAGGCCGCAAGGUGCUGACGAGUGGCGAACGGGUGAGUAAUGCAUCGGAACGUGCCCAGUCGUGGGGGAUAACUACUCGAAAGAGUAGCUAAUACCGCAUACGAUCUAUGGAUGAAAGCGGGGGACCGUAAGGCCUCGCGCGAUUGGAGCGGCCGAUGUCAGAUUAGGUAGUUGGUGGGGUAAAGGCUCACCAAGCCAACGAUCUGUAGCUGGUCUGAGAGGACGACCAGCCACACUGGGACUGAGACACGGCCCAGACUCCUACGGGAGGCAGCAGUGGGGAAUUUUGGACAAUGGGCGCAAGCCUGAUCCAGCAAUGCCGCGUGCAGGAAGAGGGCCUUCGGGUUGUAAACUGCUUUUGUACGGAACGAAACGGCUCUGGUUAAUACCCGGGGCUAAUGACGGUACCGUAAGAAUAAGCACCGGCUAACUACG